rnacentral:rRNA from 1 species
AUUGAACGCUGGCGGCAGGCCUAACACAUGCAAGUCGAGCGGCGCGUCGGACGGGUGAUUAAUGCCUAGGAAUCUGCCCGGUAGUGGGGGAUAACGUCCGGAAACGGGCCCUAAUACCGCAUACUAUCAGAUGAGCCUCGGUGGGAUUAGCUAGUUGGUGGGGUAAAGGCCUACCAAGGCGACGAUCCGUAACUGGUCUGAGAGGAUGAUCAGUCACACUGGAACUGAGACACGGUCCAGACUCCUACGGGAGGCAGCAGUGGGGAAUAUUGGACAAUGGGCGAAAGCCUGAUCGAGCAAUGCCGCGUGUGUGAAGAAGGUCUUCGGAUUGUAAAGCACUUUAAGUUGGGAGGCGUUACCAACAGAAUAAGCAACGGCUAACUUCGUGCCAGCAGCCGCGGUAAUAC